rnacentral:lncRNA from 1 species
AAAAGAAUUGAGAUGAAACACCUCUUUCCGUCUGCCAAAAAGCUUUAGGAUAUAGCAGAGGGAUGAUUCAGAAUCCAACUUUCUUAUUAAUCUGAUGCCUAUUCUAAUUAGAGGAAUACUUGUUUGCACAUUUAUAAGACAUCUCACAUAAGAAUGACGGGGAGUUUCUCUGAGAGUAAUGGCAGAGAUUUAUUUGCGGGAGUGUGGGUAACAGCUGCCAAAUACAAUGGUAAUGUCAAGAUUAGUAUAACAUGAAAGACAGCCCCCAGUAUUGACUUCCCCAGGCUGUGCGUCUACUUUUCCCUCUAGAUUCUAGAUCUGACUCCUUGCACACGAAUUACCAGGCAUGAUUUUUCUCAUCAAGUAUUUUUUUUUUUUUUUUCAAAAAUGCGGUGCUCCAUUCAGCAUGUCAUUCAGUCUUAAGUGUUUGUAAUAAAAUUACCAGAAAGCAGAGAUGCUUUGCAGCCACACAUGUGGCUUUUGAAAUAAAAUUCAAAAAAGCCACCAAUUUGUCAAAUAGAUAGGGGAAAAUGCAUCAUAUCAUUUUGCAAAUUAUGACUACAAAUAUAUUGAAGACAGUCUUGUCAAGCUGAUGUGUUCCCUCUGUUACUUGAACUUUAUCUUGGUUGAGGCUCAACUCUAAUGAAGACAGGCAUGGAUGAUUCUGGUUUGAAAAGGUCACAGUUGUACCAAAGUCUAUAUAAAUAACUUUGUCCUAUUAUGUCUCUACCACACAGCUUCUCUUGAGUUUUUCUGGGGGAAUAUACCAGGAGACCAUAAUCAAGCAUCACCAGUGGCAUUUCAUACUGGUCCCAUGGUGUUAAUCCAGGUUUCUGGUAUUGCACUAAACACGAUGAAAAACAGGAGAGAACGGAGAGGGAUCAUGUUUUACCACAAUAUGCAAUUUAUGGGAGAGAUGAAGCGCUCAGGUGGAGAUGACUAGUGUCACGUGGUGUUUUAAGUGGAUACUCACAACGCUGGAACUCACAGCAAUAACAACAAGAGGUGAGAUUAAUAUUUACUCAGUGAACUUUGAGUAAAGCAUUGGGUGCUUCAUUAUGUGGAGGAGUCUCAUCCAAUCAGUUGAAGGUGACUGAAUGGAACUAUAGAUCGACCUCACAUAAAUGAGAGGGAAUUCUGCAACAGAUCAUCUUUGCCUUUGAACUGCAGCAUGGACUCCCCUCUGGGUCUCCUGCCUGCCAGCCCACCCUGCAGAGUGCAUUUGCCAGCCUCCACAAUCAGGUAAUUUAUCCUGUGCAUUAACAAGAGGAAGUCUAGAGCCAUGGAAACCAAGUCAGGAAACUUCUCUCUUAUUAUUAGGUCCACUGCAAAUCUAGUUGAGACUGCAAAUCGAGGUUUUUCUCAGGGGAAGCCGAGCUCCAGACUAUUCAUUUGUCCUGAGGCAGCCACUUGAAACACAAUCAUUUUGUAUUUCUACGAUGUUUUGACCUUUUAUCCAAGUCAGCCCUAUAGAAUGGGCCAGGAGGUUGCUGCCACUGAAUAAGCCACUGUGAUUUUUAGCGUCAAGAAUUUUGCUGUUAACUAUGGCAGAAAAAUAGACAGAGGACAAUAAAAAUAACUAACAUAGAC